rnacentral:lncRNA from 1 species
UUAAAUUAAAUAUUAGUUAGCUUUUUUUAUGAUUUGUUAUUUAAAUGAAUAAUAAUUAUGGAAAAAAUAUAUAUUUACAUUGGAUCCUGCCACCUCACCUCACACUGCACUCUUUUUCCCUCACGAAUAUUCUUUCCACUCACAAUCCACUCACAACAACAAAUUCACUCAGUCUCUCCACACACUACCUCACACUCACCUCUCCAACAAAAAGAAAUAAGAAAACAAAAAGACUUUUCCUCUUCACAUUCCUCACUCUCUCACACGCAUCUCACCCUUUCUCAUCCACCUCUCUGAAAACGAAGAAAGAAAAGAAAAAAUCAUGUUCAUCGUCCUCUUCAUUCGCCAUCUACGAUCCUUCCACCGCUAAAUCCGCCGUAUGACCACUCUCUCAUCUCUCACCACUUCACCUUUCCCAGCAAACACCGGUCACCACACAACGCCACUCUCAAAAAACCCAUCAACUACACGAAAC